rnacentral:tRNA from 1 species
GCGGCUGUGGCGGAAUGGUAGACGCGCAACGUUGAGGUCGUUGUGGGGGCAACCCCGUGGAAGUUCAAAUCUUCUCAGCCGCACCA